AGACAAACUAUUUUUUUCUGUUGCGUUUAAUUAUUCUCUCAUUCAUGUUUCUUGCUAUGUCUUAGCCUACCUUCUGGUUUCUAAUGCUGAUCUUGCAAAAACAACACAAAAAUUUCCAAAGCAGUUGAGGUUGCUCCAGAAGAUUUUGACUUAGUCUUUGAUGUGCACGUUCGGUUUUGAUAACUAUAUAGUUUUCGUUUAACGUUCCUAGUGAGUCUGUUUCUUUUCUUUCUUGAAUCCUUUUAAGGCAAUGAACAACCAACUCCCAGCGGUCAAUGUAAACAACACCAUGAUCUUCAAAAGUAGAAUGUGGAUCAAAAAUCUACCCGGUAACAUCAGUAAUACAACUCUUUUUGAAUAUUUAACGUAAAAAGUAUAACAUAAAACAUUUUAUUAUAGCAGAGACUCUAAAUAAAUAACAGAGUUAAAAAAAUUAUAUUUACUAAUAUACGUAUAUAAACAGUAAUUAUUUUUACUAAUAAUAUUAUUUAGAAAAAAAUUGGUUUUAAAAGAUAAUAUUAAUAAUAACUAUUAAUAUAAUUAGUAUAUUUUUAAAAUAAUUUUGUUUUAAAAAAGAUUGACCAAUCAGGAGAGGGAUCAGAUGGUAAGACAAAGGAGAGUGCUCAAUUGUCGUAACAGGCGGAGCGAAACGCUCUUCUCGCAUAAUAAAAGCGAGAAAAUAACCACUCCUCAUUUCCCCUUUCACUUGCCUGAAGGAUCAUGCUUUUACUUUAACCCAACACCUAUCCUUUUAUACCCAAACAAUAGCUUCCCCAACUUCACUACUUACCGAUGUGGGACUUUCCUCUUCUUCACUUAAAUCAAAAACCCUAAUUUCAAAAUCUCAAGACUACUACGAUGACUACUACUGCCACGACGACGACCAUCUCUCAGCAUGAUUUCUACGGUGAUGAUGAUGGAGAUUCCGAAACUUCCAUCUCUGUAUCUGUUAUCGAGAAUAUGAAGGAAGAGUACGGUUUGUUCGUUUGGCCUUGUAGCGUCAUCCUCGCCGAGUAUGUCUGGCAACAGCGAUCUCGAUUUCGUGGCUCUACCAUUCUCGAGCUAGGAGCUGGCACUUCCUUGCCUGGUUUAGUAGCUGCUAAGGUUGGAGCUAACGUCACCCUUACCGAUGACUCAAGCAAAGCAGAGGUUUUGGAGAAUAUGACAAGAGUUUGUGAGCUUAACAAUCUCAACUGUAAUGUAAGUAAUGGGUCUCACUUGGGGAGUGUGGGAUGCAACCAUAUUUGAUCUGCGGCCUAACAUUAUACUUGGAGCUGAUGUUUUAUAUGAUUCAAGUGCGUUCGAUGAUCUCUUUGCCACCGUCUCUUUCCUGCUUCAGAAUUCUCGAGAUGCAGUUUUUAUCACUACGUAUCACAACAGGAGUGGGCAUCAUCUGAUCGAGUUCCUCAUGGUGAAAUGGGGUCUGAAUUGCGUUAAACUUGUGGAUGGCUUCUCAUUUUUGCCAUCUCGAAAGGCAUCUUUACUAAGCGGCAACAUUCAGCUUGUUGAGAUCGUAUUGAGUUGUGGAAAAUCAGCAGCCUAAUAAGACUGUAAAAUAAGAGGCCAAAGGUCAAAGGAAAAUAUCAAACUAAUGGUUGAGCUUGUCUCAUUUGGCUGAGAAUGAAGGAGGAUCGAUUUGGUAAGAAACAAAGGGAAAAUGAUUGUAAGUAUGUCAAAGCAGGAUAAAAGAUCACAGAUAAGAUUGAAUUGGAGCCUAACAAAUACAUCUUCACGACCAGUUUGCAACAAUUGUCUUUUUCUUUGCUCAAAUCCAUUUGUUCUUAAAGACCACGAGCACACCAACGCAUUUUUUCGUUCAUAUUAUUGUUUCAAAAUUGUUUAAAUUAAGAGCUCCCAUUGGUGAAAAUAGGAGAUCGUUUGCAAAAUACAAGUCUGUGAUUCUUGUUUUCUCACAAUUUUUGUUAUAACCAACUUCCACAUU